GGAGUUUGGGCCGUGUCUCAGUCCCAAUGUGGCCGGUCGCCCUCUCAGGCCGGCUACGGAUCGUCGCUUUGGUGGGCCGUUACCCCGCCAACUGGCUAAUCCGACGCGGGUCCAUCUCUAUCCACCGGAGUUUUUCACACUCACAGAUGCCUGUGUGUGCGCUUAUGCGGUAUUAGCAGUCAUUUCUAACUGUUAUCCCCCUGAUAGAGGCAGGUUACCCACGCGUUACUCACCCGUCCGCCGCUCAGUCAUCCCUCUCUUUCAAUCCGAAGAAAUCAAGAAAAGGCGCUUCGCUCGACUUGCAUGUGUUAAGCACGCCGCCAGCGUUCAUC
rnacentral:rRNA from 1 species